GUUCUACAGCACGGUGGAAAGCCUUGCAAAGUCUCUAUUGCACUAUUCGUCGACUAUUCGUACUAUUCGUCGACUAUUCGCGGACUAUUCGUACUAUUCGUUGACUAUUCGCGGACUAUUCGCACUAUUCGUCGACUAUUCGCGGACUAUUCGCACUAUUCGUCGACUAUUCGCGGACUAUUCGCACUAUUCGUCGACUAUUCGCACUAUUCGCUUCACUAUUCUAGUUUUAUCAAUUGCCGUUGUUUCAUAUACGCAAAGGCUGUCGGGUUUUAAAGCAAUUUAUAUAAAAUCAAUAUUUAAAACAAACUUACCUUCGUUAACGUCGACUCCCUUCUUUUAGCCGAUUCUUUCGCCAUUUCUUUCUUGAAAUUUACAAAAUCUUG